AACGUACGCUGGCGGCACGCCUAACACAUGCAAGUCGAACGAAGUAGCAAUACUUAGUGGCAGACGGGUGAGUAACAUGUGGGUAUCUACCCUUUGGCCUGGAAUAACACGAGGAAACUUGUGCUAAUACCGGAUAAGUCUUUACGGAGAAAGCUUUAUGCACCAUUGGAUGAGCCCGCACUUGAUUAGUUUGUUGGUAGGGUAAUGGCCUACCAAGACUAUGAUCAAUAGCUGAUUUGAGAGGAUGAUCAGCCACAUUGGGACUGAGACACGGCCCAAACUCCUACGGGAGGCAGCAGUGGGGAAUCUUGCACAAUGGAGGAAACUCUGAUGCAGCGAUGCCGCGUGAGUGAAGAAGGCCCUUGGGUUGUAAAGCUCUUUCGUCGGGGAAGAAAAUGACUGUACCCGAAUAAGAAGGUCCGGCUAACUUCGUGCCAGCAGCCGCGGUAAUACGAAGGGACCUAGCGUAGUUCGGAAUUACUGGGCUUAAAGAGUUCGUAGGUGGUUGAAAAAGUUAGUGGUGAAAUCCCAGAGCUUAACUCUGGAACUGCCAUUAAAACUUUUCAGCUAGAGUAUGAUAGAGGAAAGCAGAAUUUCUAGUGUAGAGGUGAAAUUCGUAGAUAUUAGAAAGAAUACCAAUUGCGAAGGCAGCUUUCUGGAUCAUUACUGA
rnacentral:rRNA from 1 species